CCUAAUUCAGUUGUACUAAUUGUGAAAGAAAACCCCCCAAGAAAAUCCUCUUCUUUCUCCUAACCCACCUUCAGGUUGCAAUUAUGGCGAUAAAAUAAAAUCCAUCUUCUUAAUCUUACAUAAUUAACACUUAAUAUUUACUCAAUUUGAAAUUCUUUUGCUUUAUACAAGAGAUUUGAGAGUUUUGUUUGAGUACUGUAGAUUAGACACACUGCAAGAGAGUGGAGGUGAAAUUUUAAAAAAUUUGAAGACGUAUGCAAUUUUGCUUUGAAACGAUCAAAAAACUUUGGUAAAGAAGAUUUUUUUUGUGAUUGAGAUUUGGACAUGGAAGAGAGUUACCGUCCUUAGACCUCAUAUUGUAGCACAAAGAGAUACAAAGAAUAUUUUCCCUGUUGGUUUAACUAGGGUCCACAUGCUACUAGAUGGUUUGCACAUUUUAGUUGGACCGACACCACAAAACACGUGUUAAGAGUUUUCAGGGAUGCACUUGAUUCCAUGAUAGAAGCUCAGGUAAGAUGUUGUAUUAGUUUUCUCUUGACAUUCAUAUAUAUUGUAAUUGUGAACACUUUUUUGUUAUAGUUUAUUUGGGAACCAUAUUCUGACAUAAUUGAGUCUUCCCGAAUAUUGCCGCAUUGGAGGAGAUAUAUGGCGUGAUAGAAUUCUAAUUUUUGGUUUUGAUUUUUUUGAGGUUCACUUACCCAAUCGAGUUAUGAGGCAAUUUGGAUUGUUACAAGCGAUAUCAUCUUCAUUUCUAUUUGACGCUAUGUAUUUUCACUACGAUCACUGAGGAAGGCCAAACACAGAUUGGGAGUUAGAGCAUGCAUAAUGGUUGCACUUUUGAAUUCAUAUUGCAAUAUGUAUGGAGUGCACCAAUCUUUCAUGGAUCACUUCAGUAUGAUGAUCCCUACCUUAUUUGGUGUAGACGUAUUACUCGUUUUAUAAUUGGUAAUCCUAUUUCGAGUCCUCAAUAACAACAAGGCUACGUUCCUAAUGCGAUGGCAUACGAAACAAUGGUUUUGUGCAAUAAUGCAGGAUGAAAGAAUCUAAUUGUUUGUCAUAUGUGUAAGAGGCAGAUAGAAUUCAUGUGCAAGCCAAUUAUAGAAGAGACGAGCUAAUGUCUGACCAUUUUCAUUCCCCUAUUCGCCAUCGAGGAAAAGGUGGUGUUGGGGUAGGAAGGUACGUGCUAUUGAGAGAGGUCGAGAGCCUAUUGAAAUGAGUGAAGAUGAUCAAGUCACACAAGAUUUCCAAGCAGCCUCGGAUUAUGAACUAACAAACACUGAGACUGUGAUAUAUAUUACACCACAGACUCCACAAAUAUAAAGGAAUCCAAGUCUUUGAUCACUUGAAAAUGUAUUUGGUAAUAAUCAACCUCAACAUUUUGACAACGUCCCAAACUUUCUCAUUGCCUGUAGAAGGUAAUGAGUUGAAUGAUUCUAACAAUGAAGUAGAUGGUGAUGAUUUGAGGAUGCAAAUCAAGGUGCAAGCCAAAGUGGUGGACCAUCAGUGAAGAAGUAGUGUACAAUUUUUUCUAAGCUUUGUGGGACCGGUACUUUAAAAUCUUUACAUUAUUCUUUGACAUAAGUGUUCCUUUUUAGUUGAAUAAUUGAAAAUUGUCUUAAUUUUCAAGGA